UAGGGAAUAUUGGACAAUGGAGGCAACUCUGAUCCAGCCAUGCCGCGUGAAGGAAUAAGGCCCUAUGGGUUGUAAACUUCUUUUAGACGGGACAAAACCCCUUUACGUGUAAAGGGUUGAUGGUACUGUCAGAAUAAGCAUCGGCUAACUACGUGCCAGCAGCCGCGGUAAUACGUAGGUGUCGAGCGUUGUCCGGAUUUAUUGGGCGUAAAGAGCCCGCAGGCGGCUUGGUAAGUUCGAGGUGAAAUCUCCCGGCUCAACUGGGAGGGUGCCUCGAAAACUAUCAGGCUUGAGGCAGGGAGAGGGAUGUGGAAUUCCCGGUGUAGUGGUGAAAUGCGUAGAUAUCGGGAGGAACACCAGUGGCGAAGGCGGCAUCCUGGCCCUGUCCUGACGCUCAGGGGCGAAAGCGUGGGGAGCAAACC
rnacentral:rRNA from 1 species